GAUUAUGGCUCAGGAUGAACGCUAGCGGCAGGCUUAACACAUGCAAGUCGAGGGGCAGCGGGAUGUAGCAAUACAUUGCCGGCGACCGGCGGAUGGGUGCGUAACGCGUAUGCAACCUACCUUAUACAGGGGAAUAACCUUUCGAAAGGGAGACUAACACCCCAUAGUAUUGAUUUAAGGCAUCUUAGAUUAAUUAAAUAUUUAUAGGUAUAAGAUGGGCAUGCGUAUGAUUAGCUAGUUGGUAAGGUAACGGCUUACCAAGGCGACGAUCAUUAGGGGUUCUGAGAGGAAGGUCCCCCCACACUGGUACUGAGACACGGACCAGACUCCUACGGGAGGCAGCAGUGAGGAAUAUUGGUCAAUGGGCGCAAGCCUGAACCAGCCAUGCCGCGUGCAGGAAAAGACGGCCUUAUGGGUUGUAAACUGCUUUUACAUAAGACUAACCGUAUAUUUGCGAAUAUACCUGAAUGUAUUAUGAGAAUAAGGAUCGGCUAACUCCGUGCCAGCAGCGGC
rnacentral:rRNA from 1 species